rnacentral:rRNA from 1 species
GAUGAACGCUGGCUACAGGCUUAACACAUGCGAGUCGAGGGGAAACGACGGGGAAGCUUGCUUCCCCGGGCGUCGACCGGCGCACGGGUGAGUAACGCGUAUCCAACCUGCCUCUGACUGAGGGAUAACCCGUCGAAAGUCGGCCUAAUACCUCAUGGCAUCGUCUGCGGGCAUCCAACGACGAUUAAAGAUUUCAUCGGUCAGGGAUGGGGAUGCGUCUGAUUAGCUUGUUGGCGGGGUAACGGCCCACCAAGGCUACGAUCAGUAGGGGUUCUGAGAGGAAGGUCCCCCACAUUGGAACUGAGACACGGUCCAAACUCCUACGGGAGGCAGCAGUGAGGAAUAUUGGUCAAUGGGCGGGAGCCUGAACCAGCCAAGUAGCGUGCAGGAUGACGGCCCUAUGGGUUGUAAACUGCUUUUAUGCGGGGAUAAAGUGAGGGACGUGUCCUUCAUUGCAGGUACCGCAUGAAUAAGGACCGGCUAAUUCCGU